CCCAUCUCCUGAUGUGCGUGCACUUCUCUGUGUGGCCCUCACCUGAGGCCGCCAUUUUGUGUUUGAGGGAGCAUGGAGACUGUUCCCAACAGCUGAUGGGGAGGCUAUUUUUAUCAUGGUGAGAGAAAGCCAGAUCAUGAAAACUGGUCCUGCAAUGAAGGCAAGUACCAACUCAUCCACGAGAGUGUGACUUCACAGCCUGCACCAUGUCAUUCUUCUGGCAUUUUGCAUGGGAAAACGGUAAGAGUUGUAACCUUCAUGCACGUCUGUCAGCUUUUCUCAAAAGCUAAACCUAGGAGGAGGACGGCACUGAGGGCUUGAGUACUUAUUUCUAAAUACAUUUAUAUGGAUAGUCUUGAUCUGCUAAAUGGAACAAUUCAAAUAUAGCAAAUAAAUUAAUUGCUCUGGGGGCGUGUUGAUAAGAC
rnacentral:lncRNA from 1 species